AUGAUGAAUAAGUUAACAUCGUACAUCUUAAGGUUUUCAUUAAAUUAAACAGCUAUUUAGAAAUAAUAUGCUGAUUGUGUUUAACAAUAAAGAUGCAACUAAAGCUUACUCUGCUGCAAACUUCCUAAAACAUUGAAAGGGUUAACUAGUUUUGUUAUGCAUACACCAAAUGGUGAUAGCUUUUGAAAUCGUUGCUUAGUUUUAUUAUUUAUUUCAAAUACAGGAAUGCCAUUACAUUCGCCACGCCUGGACAUGCUAACAGAAUUAACAGACCACGAAAUAAUAAAAAGAUACAGACUGAAUAAAGCAGGCAUAAAUUAUCUAGAGAGGAUGAUAGGGGCAACUUUAAGUCCCCGUACGGCCAGACAUAAAAGCCCGUCUGCUCUUGAAUUUUUUUUUUGAUAAUGUUACGUUAUCUUGCCUCUGGAGAAUUCCAAAUAAAUGAUGGAGACCUUCAUCAGGUCAGUCAGUCAACGGUUUCAAAAGUAAUAAGUGAGGUUCUUCAAGAACUAACAUCAUCAGACAUGGUCCGGGAGCAUAUACGUUUCCCAACAUCUGUGCAUGACCUGGAUACACAAGUGGCUAAAUUUGCUGGUGUUACAAAUUUCCCAAAAGUUAUGAGUGUGAUUGACUGCACUCAUGUGAGAAUCCUGGCUCCCUCUUUGGAAGAGGAAAUUUAUGUGAAUAGAAAAGGUUUUCUCAGUAUAAAUGCCCAGCUUGUAUUUGAUGCUUUUGACACAAUCAUAGUGUUGUUGCGAGGUGGCCAGGAUACUCACAUGAUAGCCGGAUUUUACAAAAUAGUGGGGUUAGACAGCUGUUUGAGGAGGGAAUCAUCCCCGUCAGGUAUCACCUACUUGGAGAUAGUGGUUAUCCCUCUCGAAGAUGGCUGCUUACCCCAUACGCAAACCCUCAAGCAGGACAACAAACCCGGUACAACAGUUGCCACCCUGGAGGGUUGAAAGAAGAAGAGAUUUUGGAAGUGUAGGCCGGUGUGAGUGGGGGAAAAAAGCCAGCAGGGAUGAUGUCACUCAGUUGAACUAAGGGAGGUAAUUGUGGGGAUGGAGUCUACAACGGUUGUUUCUCCAGGACCAGAAGGAGUGCACGAGCAUACAAAAUAACUAGACCAUAAGUAGAAAGGGGCAUAGGGCAACUGAAAAGGAGAUUUGGUAUUUUUCAUGGAGAAAUCCGUAUGAAACCAGAAAAGGCUUGCAGGGUAAUAACAGCGUGUGCUGUAUUGCACAAUAUUUGCAAAAGGCAAAAUAUUCCUCUACCAGAUGUUGAAAUGGAGGAAAAUGAUGAUAACCAGCCUGAACUCAACCAGCCAGACCCCAUGGAAAAUGGCCCACAAAUGGGACUUAGAUACAGGGACUUAUUUGUUAAUACUUAUUUUUGAAAAAAAGGAUGGCAAUACCUUUCAUUACCUCCUGGUGAAUCUCCCAGACUCUCUUUUCCCGGUUGCUGAGGACUGCACUCUUUUCCCGGUUGCUGAGGACUGCACACACUGUAUGGAAGGAAAGAAAAUUACAUCAUUAUUAUUUGAUAAAAGCUUCAUUUAGAAUCUUUUAUCUCUAAUGGUUAUUAAUCUCCUAUGUCACUUAUGUCAAGGCAUUGUUCUCCUUUUUCUGCCUUUAUUUACACUUUGUUGGGAAAUGAGGUGUUUUUUAUUGUUAUGGGAAAAAGAAAAACUUAUUGUUCAUUUAAGGAAUACUUGUUUUGUUCUAAAGUUAUCAUCUGUGGUCUAUUUCCUCUUAAUUUGCAUCUAAUGUAGAUCUCUAUUGCUAUCAUUAUGAGAAAAGUAUACCCUCAUUCUCAGUAGUAAUGAAUUAAUUUUUUACCAAACAACACAUUUUAAACUGUUCCGAAAUGAACAGUGUGACCUAUGAUAGUUUAAAUUGUAUAACAAUAUAUAGAAAGUAUUUUGGAAGGGUAGACAUAUUUUUUGGAUAAGGAGAAAUGGCUCACUUUGUGUAAUUUCACAUCCCCACAAUAAUUUAUAUAGUAAUCUGCAAUAAACUCAUACAAUUUUAUUAUUAUUUAUUGCUAUGGCAACAAGUAGACUAGAAAUAGUGCUGAAAAUGUUUUUUUUUUCUGGAUCCUGCGAUAACUUUAAAAGUUCUUAAUAUUUGAUCAUGAAACUUGGAACAUGGAUAGAUGGCAAUAUGGACAUUAUGCACGUCAUUUCAUUUUGUUCCUACGUCAAAAAUUGUGGUUGCUAUGGAAACAAAUAAUAAAAAUAUUCUGACAAUGGUGAAAUUUCUGACAAUGGUGGAGCCGGUAUGGGACAUUUAUUGCUCGGCAAUAGUCUUGUUGUAUUUGUAUUCUAACACUUUGAGCAUAAAUAUGUUUAAAAAAUAAUUACCUUUGCUGUUUUAUCAAGAGCAUGGAUGAAUCCAUGUCUUCAGACAGGGCAAUUCCUGAUAAUGUUUGGGAUUUUUUCUCCACAACAUCAACUACUGAUUCAGUCAAAACUGAUAGUUGUGCAGGUUUUGGUCCACCUCCAUAAAGGAAAUACACGCAUGUGAGUAUACGUAGGAAAAGUGAUAGUGAAAUUAUUUGGUCCAAGAUAUCUCUUAAAUAGUUGUUUUCAAACAGUCCUAAAAGCAUUGUGAGAAAAGGAGAAAUGGCUCAAUAUAAGCAAUGUCUUCUUAUCUCACAAUGAUUUCUACCCUUCCAAAGACUUUGUUUCAUAUUUUAUUAUAAUUUUAAUUAUGGUCUACAACCUCUUUCAAUUAAGGAAGACCAAAAUGUGUAGUAUGGUUAUGGGCUUACGAUAAAGAGUUAACUGAUACAUGUAACUAAGUACAUUUAAAUUUAACAGCCAUAUUUAGCCCAGUACUUUAAAAUUUAACAGUACUUAGCAUUACUCUUACCUUACAAUCUAAUUGAUAAAUAUGAGGGUAGCACUUGACAAACAAAUCAGGAAUACAGGGGUCGUGCAUUUGAACCCCAGCUUUUCCAAUAUUCUUUACAAAGUUCAAAGAAGUCUAUGAUAAGACUAAUUCCUUUCUCAACUCGUAAUAAUUGUGUUUCCAUGGGAAAAAUCAGGAGCAAGGAUGGUGUACUUGUCACUGAUAUAAGAUAAUAUUUUUUGAAAAUGACGUGAACACCUAAAUCCAAAAAUGCUUGAUGAGAUAGAUUUGACUAUGCAAUAACGUACCUGUUUUGUUUGACAGAAUAAGGUGCUCUGCAAACAGAGACCUAUGAACCUGUACAAGGUUGUCCCACUUUUUGUUGAGGGUUUGCUGGUCCCUAGCGAACUCUGCCUUCUUAUUAAAAUGUUCUGUCACAGAUCCCCAACACUGCUUUUUGGAUACUGAUGUUAUGGCUGAAGAAUAGACACAGACAUGUAGCACUGACUUGUAUACAUUCCUCUGUACAUGUAUUAAACACUAUUGUAGUGUUUCUUACAAAGCUGGGAAGAUUAGAGUUUCAUGCUGUUACUAUUGUGAUCUAUUAUGUCAUACUAUUCAUUUAAUUUUAUAUUUAUGUUAUAUGAUGUUACCAUUUAUAAUUAGAGUAAAUAUCAAUUUGCUUCUAAAGUGGAUGUGAUAUUUAUUUGUGUUAACCUAUGUGUUAAAUAAUAAGGUACUGUUUGUGCAUUAGCAACAUAUUAUUUAGCCCAAGGACAACUGUUAUUAUUUGAUUGAUAAACCAAUUUUUGAAACCCUUUGGAAAACAAUUAUUCCUUAAUUUAAAAUGUAUAAUGAACUUUAAAAGUGUUAUUGUAAACACAUCACCUGGCUUUGGAAUAAAUCAGUGUUUUUUACCUUUAAGGUCAUGUUUCCAUUCUGCAUAGAUUGCAAUAUUUAUUUAUAUGUUGAAUAUUGUUCAGUAUAUGUACUCUACUUUUCAAUGAUUUCAACCAAAUGAACCCUCAUGAAACUUGAAAAAAGAGAUUUUUUGUCUAAAUCUCCUGUACUGAUUUCCCAUGUUUUAUGAUAAAAUUUCAGUCAAUUUGUAUUUUCUCCAUACAUAAUUGUAAUAAAUGUAAUACAUGAUUCAUUUCACAAA